UACGUAGGGUGCAAGCGUUGUCCGGAAUUAUUGGGCGUAAAGAGCUCGUAGGCGGUUUGUUGCGUCGGCUGUGAAAUCCCGAGGCUCAACCUCGGGUCUGCAGUCGAUACGAGCAAACUAGAGUGUUGCAGGGGAGACUGGAAUUCCUGGUGUAGCGGUGAAAUGCGCAGAUAUCAGGAGGAACACCGGUGGCGAAGGCGGUUCUCUGGGCAACAACUGACGCUGAGGAGCGAAAGCGUGGGGAGCGAACAGG
rnacentral:rRNA from 1 species